CGAGGUAUCGCGUGUUUUUUGGUGACGUCGUAGCACCACGUGACGCGCCAGCACCACGUGACGCGCCGAUCAGCUGACUGCCGGGUUCCGGGUUGUCGGUCGGUGUUUACUUUGAAAUCAGCUUCUUCUUCUUGUUCGAUCUCCGCGGCUGAAUCAGCAGCCAUGAACGCCUCCGACACCGACGAGGACUCGUAUAACGAGAGGACGGCGUUGGUCCCGUCUGAGAAUCCUGAGGUGCAGUCCUACAGCCCCGAUGCUGACCACACCCCCCCUGACAGCACGCCAUCCAAAAAGCCUCAGGUGACCAGGAGGGCAGGUCCGGCUGCAGCAGACGGCGUUGGUGGUGGCGGCGGUGGCAGCUCGGAUCAGGAGGCGGAUGCUGAGGACGAGGAGCUGACUCUGAAGUAUGGAGCCAAACACGUCAUCAUGCUGUUCAUCCCCGUCACGCUCUGCAUGGUCGUGGUCGUCGCCACCAUCAAGUCUGUCAGCUUCUACAGCGAGAAGACCGACCAGCGACUGAUCUACACGCCGUUCUCGGAGAACACGUCGUCUGUGGGCCGUCGGCUCCUCAACUCGGUCCUGAACACCAUCAUCAUGAUCAGCGUCAUCGUGGUCAUGACCAUCCUGCUGGUCGUUCUCUACAAGUACCGCUGUUACAGGUUCAUCCAGGGCUGGCUCAUCCUGUCCUCCCUCAUGCUGCUCUUCUGGUUCAGCUUCAUGUACCUGGGCGAGGUGUUUAAGACGUACAACCUGGCGGUGGAUUACCCGACCGUGGGGGUGAUCAUCUGGAACUUCGGGGCUGUGGGGAUGAUCUGUAUCCACUGGAAGGGCCCGCUCCAGCUGCAGCAGGCCUACCUCAUCCUCAUCAGCGCCCUCAUGGCCCUCGUCUUCAUCAAAUACCUGCCCGAGUGGUCGGCCUGGGUCAUCCUGGGCGCCAUCUCCGUCUACGACCUGGUGGCCGUCCUCUCUCCUAAAGGUCCUCUCAGGAUGUUGGUGGAGACGGCUCAGGAGCGGAACGAGCCCAUCUUCCCCGCCCUCAUCUACUCCUCGGCCAUGAUGUGGACGGUGGGGAUGGCGAGCCCGAUGGACGCCCAGCGCUCCGGACAGGAAACGGACGAGGAGGCGGAUCAGAGGAGCCAGGGGGCGGAGCCUGAAAUACAACAGUCCCGCUCGUUUCCAGAGGACGACCUGGAGGAGGACAGAGGGGUGAAGCUCGGUCUCGGGGAUUUCAUCUUCUACAGCGUCCUGGUUGGAAAAGCUGCAGCGACAGGCGGAGACUGGAACACGACGCUCGCCUGCUUCGUCGCCAUUCUCAUUGGCCUGUGUCUGACUCUGCUGCUGUUGGCGAUCUUUAAGCGAGCGUUACCGGCGUUGCCGAUCUCCAUCGCCUUCGGCCUCGUCUUCUACUUCUCCACGGACUUCCUGGUUCAGCCGUUCAUGGACAACCUGGCCGCUCACCAGUUCUAUAUCUGACAGAAGCCCCGCCCCCUAACCUUCCACGCACAAAGACUGUCCCUGUUCCUGUGCAGGUGAUCCACCUGUCCGUUUGAAGAACACGAUGCAUUAAUCAAAACACAGGAAGUGAUGUAAUGCAGACGCAGGAAGCUCAGGUGUGUUUCUGAUCACCUGCUGAACAAACAUUUGAAGGAAAGUUCCACCUCAAACCUUGUACCUCCUCACACCUGUAGAGUCUCUGUAACGCUUCUGACGGGAUGAUUCAUCUCUCGCUGUGAUGUUUGUUCAUCAAACACCACGGCUGCUUCUGAUUGGCCGACGCUCCUGUCAGUCAAAACACGCCCAAACAUUCCUGUGUUUUUUUUCUGGAUAAAUUUACAUGAAUUUGUUUUCUCUCUUCCUGAGUUUUUUUAGCUUUCUGACAUGGCUCGUCCUGAUUGGUCCACACAGACUGAGAACACGCCCCCACAUUAACCUCCCCGUCACACACGUCUGAUUAAAAACGACCGCUAACGAGCCGUCAGGUAGCUCAGUGUCUCAAUGGCAACGAGUACAGCAGCUUCACUCUGGUUGCUUUCAUGAAACAUUCAAAUAUAAAUCUUACCUUCAGGUCGAGUUCACUUUGAACCAAACUUUAUUUAAACACGUUCAGAAAAACGUUCAAAAAAGUGAGCGAACAGGAAGCUCAUUAAAAUAAACUUUUUCAAACACGAGUCUGCGUACGGACCAUGACGGUUAAAAUGGGACUAAAAACCUGAGGUUUCAAAAACUCGUUAAGUUUAUCGUAAAUGUACGACUUUUUCACCUAAAAAAACUACGAGAUACAUUUCUUCUACAUUAACGACUCAUCCUCUCGUACUUACGAGGUUUUUGUCUCGUAUAAUUACUAUAAUCUCAUAAGAGUAAAAUAUCUCGUAACGUACGACUUAUCAUCGGAAAGAUGUCGGGUUAAAUUCCUUGUGAAAUAACGACUUUUGAAUCUCUUAAAUUCUGAUUUGAGUUUAAAGCACAUUAACGACUUUAUAAACUCAAAAACUGGGAGAAUUAUUUGUUGAAAAUUACGAAGUUUUAAUAAAAAAUAUAUUUUCUUAAAUUUAUGACUUUAUAGUCAAAUAUUCUGCGUUAAUUUUCUCAAAAUGAUGGAGACCUUAUUAAAAACAUUAGCAUUAGCAUUAAGCUAGUUUAGCUCCAAAAACGUACCUGAGUAUCUGACUUUUCUACUAAGAGAGCAGCGAUCACAGCGGAGCGCCUCCUGGUGGCCGUGAACAACUUCAGUUACUUUCAGGUUUAAGGUGGAAUUUUCCCAGAAUUCAUUCAGUUCCAGGUUUUUAAUAUUUUAACAAAGAACGAAUCUCUCUGCUGUAAAGUUUAAAUUAGUCAGACUAGAUGGAGUUUAAAGAAACUUGAUGUGCUCGGUGAAAAAGAGAUUUAGUUAGAACUUCAUUAAUCCAGCAGGAAACAACGAUUCAUCAGUUGUUUCCUUUUAGGAUAGAAACAUAUUUUAUUAUCUAUUAAUCUGAGUUAUCCACAUUUCUGUUUCUGGUUUUGAUGUUUUUCUUCUGUAAAUAUUAUAAUAAAUUAAAUAUCUUUUCAAACUUUCAA